GACGAACGCUGGCGGCGUGCUUAACACAUGCAAGUCGAACGUGAUUUUUAAGGAAAGCCCUUCGGGGAAGGAAUUAAAAUGAAAGUGGCGAACGGGUGAGUAACACGUGAGCAACCUACCUUACACAGGGGGAUAGCCGUUGGAAACGACGAUUAAUACCGCAUGAGACCACAGAAUCGCAUGAUAUAGGGGUCAAAGAUUUAUCGGUGUAAGAAGGGCUCGCGUCUGAUUAGCUAGUUGGAAGGGUAAAGGCCUACCAAGGCGACGAUCAGUAGCCGGUCUGAGAGGAUGAACGGCCACAUUGGAACUGAGACACGGUCCAAACUCCUACGGGAGGCAGCAGUGGGGAAUAUUGCACAAUGGGGGGAGCCCUGACGCAGCGACGCCGCGUGAGCGAAGAAGGUUUUCGAAUCGUAAAGCUCUGUCCUAUGAGAAGAUAANGACGGU
rnacentral:rRNA from 1 species